rnacentral:rRNA from 1 species
AUACGGAGGGUGCAAGCGUUAUCCGGAUUCAUUGGGUUUAAAGGGUGCGCAGGCGGAAUGAUAAGUCAGUGGUGAAAUCCUACAGCUUAACUGUAGAACUGCCAUUGAUACUGUCAUUCUUGAGUACACUUGAAGUGGGCGGAAUGUAUCAUGUAGCGGUGAAAUGCAUAGAUAUGAUACAGAACUCCGAUACCGAAGGCAGCUCACUAAAUUGUAACUGGCGCUCAGGCACGAAAGCGUGGGGAGCAAACAGGAUUAGAAACCCCAGUAGUCC